CAUCUUGAGGUCUCGCGAGUGAGCGUAAAUGGAUUACCGACGAGACCUUCGAUCGUCGCGAUGGCAAUAUGGAAAUUCUGCAGGGCUUCCUGUUCGCGAAGCAGCGCUUGCAAGACCGAACCUUUAACAUCGAGCAAUUCGAGCAAGGUGAACCGGCCCUGCAAAUAGCCGCUCUGAAUCGUCUCGGAAGCACUGCGCGCGUUCGGGAUGAUCGAUGACCGCAGCAGCUUGAUUUCG
rnacentral:misc_RNA from 1 species